AUUGAACGCUGGCGGCAGGCCUAACACAUGCAAGUCGAGCGGAUGAGUGGAGCUUGCUCCAUGAUUCAGCGGCGGACGGGUGAGUAAUGCCUAGGAAUCUGCCUGGUAGUGGGGGACAACGUUUCGAAAGGAACGCUAAUCCCGCAUACGUCCUACGGGAGAAAGCAGAGGACCUUCGGGCCUUGCGCUAUCAGAUGAGCCUAGGUCGGAUUAGCUAGUAGGUGAGGUAAAGGCUCACCUAGGCGACGAUCCGUAACUGGUCUGAGAGGAUGUGCAGUCAAACUGGAACUGAGACACGGUCCAGACUCCUACGGGAGGCAGCAUUGGGGAAUAUUGGACAAUGGGCGAAAGCCUGAUCCAGCCAUGUCGCGUGUGUGAAGAAGGUCUUCGGAUUGUAAAGCACUUUAAGUUGGGAGGAAGGGCAGUAAGUUAAUACCUUGCUGUUUUGACGUUACCAACAGAAUAAGCACCGGCUAACUUCGUGCCAGCCGCCGCGGUAA
rnacentral:rRNA from 1 species